rnacentral:lncRNA from 1 species
UAACCUAAGUAUUGUGCAUAAAAUCUAUCUAAAGUCCGACACAAGACAAGAUAGUCGUAUGUAAAUCCAUUGGAUAGAUCAUAAGUCAUAACAAACACAGCACACGUCCUACAAAGAUUUACUUGCCUUAUCAAACAUGCUACAAAGUGAUUUCAUGAUAUCGUCUCAUGACGAAGCUAUGCCUUCAAAAGAAACAUGUCCAACCACAUAAUAAUAUUACAUUUGCAUAUCUUUUAAGAAUAAGGAUCUCGUAACAUCGAGUUCAUGUCUAUAUAACAUGAUUUUUUUUUUUUGGAAAUGAAUAAAAAUGUAAUAAUAACAAAGCAUAAGAAUUUUCGAGAAUGAGAUAUUUGGCAUUUAAAAGUUUGUAAAAUUUUGAUAACAAACAAAAUUAAAUAUUUUAAUCAAAUUAUAUAGAUAUAGUCCAAUGUCAACAAGUGUCUUGAUUCUAACAUACAUAAUAGUAUAAUACUAUUACUAUGGUCGUACCUUUCAAUUAGAUCAUCUUGUUUGUACUAUCCAUAUGCAUUCUUUGUACUAUCUAUAUGACUAUAUCCAUGGUCCUAUUACUUUUUUAUUGUAACCUUGGAUUUUAAUAACCUAUUCUCCACCAAACAAUAAUUAAGUAAUUGUGUAGCUUUAAUUAUGGUUGAACGUUUGUUCUAGUUAGGCAUGUAUUUCAUAAUAUUAUACAUUGGUUUGUUCUUGCUUGGAUUCAUAUGGUAUAAAACGAACGUAAUAUUGAUGUCCGGUUUUAUUUUAUAUGUUGUUUUGUAUAACAAUUGAAUUCGUAGAUAAUAACAUAUAAAUAAAACAAUACGAGGACAAUACAACAAUAAGAAUCUAAUACGAGGAUAAUACAACGAUAAGAAUAUAACCUAAACCUUGUACGAAGAUUCUUCUCCUAGGAGUCAUGCCAAUUGCCAAUGAACGAAUCUUGAUAUCCACAUUCCAAAUUACCUUUUCCAUCGUGUUUGACACGAAGUCUUGGCGUGGUGAAUCUAAUACAACUUUGGUUCCUUAAAUAUGGAUUCGAACUGAUAAGACAAAUUUAUGAUCCAAAUCAAUCCAACCAAAAUACAAUGUAAUAUUAUUAAUUUUGCAAUUUAUUUGUUCUUUUUACCACAAUGUAUUACUCGAAAAUUACAAUAUUAGACAAACUAAAACAAACAACGACAAUAAUAGUAAGAUUGGGUUGUUUGAUUUUAAACCAUAAACUAUUAGCAACUUUCAAUAUUAUGAUUUUGAUAAAUGGACAUGAUUUGAGAUAGAUGACUGAUUCAUAACAUAUGCAUUUAACUAGACCAAAAAGUAAAUUCUUCUAGUUAGAGAUUAAUCAAUAAUCUUUAUAUAUAUACACACAUACAAGCUUGAAUACUUGAUCAUAUAAGAUUAUGGGUGGAUGACGCAAAGCAUACAAAUGAAAAGCAAUACUUGAUCAUAUAAGAUAUUAACUUUCAAUUAUGGGUGGAUGACGCAAAGCAUAUAAAUGAAAAGCAACACUAUUAGCUAAGAAUCCAAUGUCUAAUGAAUCAAAGAAGAAAUGAUGUAGAAAAAAGAAUAUUUGUUACAAUUGACCAUCGUUUCUUCUUUCUAUCUUCGUAAUGAUGGUUGAAGUCAUUGAGUAUAGUUUUAGAAUUAUCUAUAAAGUGUUGGUACAUCACCAUUAUAUCUAACAAAACUAGUUUAAUAAUUUUCAUUUAUUACGUGAUUAACUUUUUUUGGCACCUCUAUUUGUAACUAUUCGUAUAAACAUACUUUAUUAAAGGCUUGACGUUUGUUCCAGAUGUAUGAAAACAAAUGCGUCUUAACAUCCUACACCACUGAAGGACAAUUCAUUCCGAGCUUUCUAGAGAAACCAAAACGUACCAUAAGCAAUUGAGAACUACAACAUCAUAUUAUACAUGCAUGGAUACACAUGAGACUAACUUGCAACCUUGAUUUAAGCUUGGGAGAUCUAAGCAUCAGAAGAUGGUAGAACCGGUUAAACCUGACAAGCAGGACUAAUGUUAUGCAUAUUGUAGAAACAAUGCCGAAAAACUUUUAGCAUGUAUAAAUUUCUUUUCCUAGCUAUGUUCGUUGAGACGCAUUUUA